ACGAGCCAAUCUCCUUCCCUCUCAUUCAAAACAAAAAAGAGGGGUUUUAUGAAAUAUCUAACCCUAACCGACUGCAAACCAGCCGCCCUCGCAACUCCCUGAAGGCUAGCUUCCAUCGAGUUUUCCAGCCAAGGAUGGAGGUGGAGAUCUGCUCUCAACGACGGCUGAGGAUAACGCCGGAAAACAGACGCGAUUAAAAGUGGCGAUCAAGGCAGCGAUUUUCAGCCGCAAUCGUCGGCCAGGAAACGCGAUCCAAGCUAGAAUAUGGCAGCCAAUGCCAAAUUCGAACAAUGGACAGGCAUCCAUGGGAGUUAUUUAUUCAUUUUGAGCUUGAUUUGAACAACAACCGCUUUGAUACCUAGUAGAUCCCGGCACCGGAAAGGAGAAACAUAUGGGAGACUAUGAUAUGCGGCAGAGGCUCUUCUACAUGCGGUACAGCAGCUAAUCCGAUUUCCCACCAGCCAU